rnacentral:rRNA from 1 species
GACGAACGCUGGCGGCGUGCUUAACACAUGCAAGUCGAACGGACAGGCCCUGCUCUUGUUGCGUUGUCGAUUGGCGAACGGGUGAGUAACACACGAGUAACCUGUCCCUGACUUUGGGAUAACUUCAGGAAACUGGGGCUAAUACCGGAUAGGAUCUCCUGCUCCACGGUGGGGGUUGGAAAGUUUCGGCGGUUGGGGAUGGACUCGCGGCUUAUCAGCUUGAUGGUGGGGUAGUGGCUUACCAAGGCUUUGACGGGUAGCCGGCCUGAGAGGGUGACCGGCCACAUUGGGACUGAGAUACGGCCCAGACUCCUACGGGAGGCAGCAGUGGGGAAUAUUGCACAAUGGGCGGAAGCCUGAUGCAGCAACGCCGCGUGCGGGAUGACGGCCUUCGGGUUGUAAACCGCUUUCGCCUGUGACGAAGCGUGAGUGACGGUAAUGGGUAAAGAAGCACCGGCUAACUACGUG